GGUUUGUCACUACUCAUGAUUUUUCUUCCAACUGGUUAUUUUGUGGAGUUAUUUCCAUGGAAUUUGGGACUGUUUUUUUUUUUCCAUUUUCGUGGAGUUAUUUAUUUUUCUUCAAACAGAAUAUUGAAAAAGAGAAUGUACGAGCGAAGAAAUGUCUUUUGAAGAGAAAAUUCAUACACAAGUAGGGGAAAUAUAAUGCGAUAUAAUUUGAAAGAUGGAUACAAUACAAUAAAUAUAUCAAAUAAACUCAUACUUUAUUAUUCUCUUUUUUUAUAUUAUAAUCCCAAAUUUGAAAAAGGACUUAGCGCACAAGGCUCCAAAAAACACAGCUUCAAAAUGGUAAGGAAACAAAACCAAAUUAUUUAGAAACGUGCCAACAUCCAAACAAAACUUUGCUUGGUCGGUUCAUUAUUUCUCACUAAGCGGACGGCAUCAGAUUUAACAAUAUAUGCGCGUAUCUGAUUACAUCGUUUCCUGGAGGCUCCUCUGUAUGCUCUCCAUAUGUCAAUAAAAUGAUUGCCAUCCCUUAGAUAACAGUGCCAUACUAUCCUAUCGCCGCUGCCUCUCUCCCUAACCGGGAAGUUGUAUUUACCAUUGAAUUUUAUUUCUUGAACACUUAUAGUUUCCUUUUUGUUCGAUGUGCAGUUGACUUUGACACUACGAGGAGGUUCAAGUUGGUUUUGAAAUUCCACCAGAUUGCAUCCGGAAGUUCUUUUCGAACUAAAACACAUAACAGUUAUUAACAUAAAAGUAAUGAGAUUAUUCAUCUUUUUUUUUUUUUUUGAAGAUGCUAGAGACCCAAAGCGUAUUAUGUAUAGUUUCUUUUGUGAUGAAUAAGGUAAGAAGCUAAAUAUAGACACACAUAUUACUCGAUUAAAGUUAUGGUUGGAGGAGCAUUCGCAGUCGAAAAGUAAGGUAAAACCAUAAGAUAAGAUCAAAUAAAUUUAAAUUGCAAAUUAACGUUGACCACUAAAACUAAAGAAACACGAGUCUGAAAGUAGGUUCUACAUUUUAUCCAUAAAAUUUGUUUUGAUCUAUUAUUCGUUCUGAUUCGAAUAUUAAAAAUAUAUAUCCAUUAAAACGAAAAAAAUCACAAAUAUUAAAAGUUUAGGAUGCGGAUACCUGCUCCUCUCCGGCUUAUAUACAAAAAAAAAAAAAAUAUAUAUAUAUAUAAUCAAAUAUAUAGUUUUAAAUGUAUAGUUUUGUAUAAUUAUUAUUUUAACAUAUAAUUUUAUUCACAAAAUUACUUAUAAAAUUAUGAAAUUAAGAAAACAAUAUAAAAUCAUUAUAAAACCUACAAUUUUUCUUAAAUUUUGUGACAAGUAAUAAAAUUUAAAUAUUUACAGAACAUAUUCUUUCACUACUUUUUACUUAUUAUCUUAUUAUAUAAGAAUAUGUUUGAAAACAAAUUUAUAUGGUUUUAUAGAUUUACUUGUAUUAAACAAAGUGGAUGAGAUAUCCACAAAUAUCCGUAAAUAUCCCCAAAUUUUCUGGAUAUCCAUAUAUUUCCAGAGUAAAUCAAAUCAAAAUUCUAUAUGCUCACCCCUAGCUAAAAGCAUCAUUAGCAUAGAGAUACUCUACCCAAUAGCUCACCAAUUUAAUAAUCAUAAUUUUAUUGCUUUCUCAUCUCUUUGUCAAUUGUGAAUUUCUCAUCCUAGAUACUAGGGCUACACAUAAUAUUCGCAUCUAAAAAACCGACAAGGAAUCUGAAAAUCAGGAUACAAAACUCGAUUGGAUCCGUCCAAAAUAUCCGAACAUGUACUCUUUUCAAACCCAAAGUAUCGAUAUCAAAUCCGAUUCGCACCAAACUGAAUGAGUAUCCAAUAUAUAUAUAUAUAUAUAUACAUAAAUAUUAGUUAUAGUUAUACUUAUAUUAAAAUUGAUUCCUAAAAUUAGAAUUAUAAAUUUAAUAUAAUAACCAUUUUAGGUACUUAUUGAUAGAAACAUAUGUUUUGAAUACAAAAUAACCAAAUCAAAUUGUAUCUAUGAUUUCUUUCAGACAAAAAAACUGACUUAAACCAUAUUUGCUAGGGUAAACGAUUUAUUUUACCCAUCAUAAGUAUCAUAUAGUUACAGUUACAUACAAACUUUCAAUCUUAUCUUAAUUUCCACUUAUUUAAAGUUAUUCAACCUAUUAUUUCCCAAUUCAAAAUUUCAAACAUAUUGAAUCCGAUCCGCACCGAGAAUUGAAUGAGAAUUGUAUCCAAACAUAUAAAUAUAUAUAAAUAAAUAAAUAAAUAAUAUAUAUAUAUAUAUAUAUGAGUUAUAAUUAUAUAUUGAUAUUAAUACAUAAAAUUGAAAUUAUAAAUUAAAUAUAUUAAUUAUUUUGAGGUAUUUAUUGAUAGAAAUGGAUGUUUUGGAUAAAAUACCUAAAUCAGAUUGUAUCUAUGUUUACUUUCGGUUGAAAAUUACCGAUUUAAACCAUACUUACCAGGGUAAACGAUUUAUUUUAUCCAUCAGAAUUAUCAUACACUCGGAACUUGAGGCUCUCUCAUGGGCAAUUGAGUGCAUGCUAUAGCUAUCGGCGCGUCCGGAUUUUGGCACCGAUUUUAAGGAUUUAACCUUGUGAUUCAAGAUCCAGGAGUAUGGACAAACUUUUCCACUAAACCGAAGGAGUUGUCAAGAUUGAAGAAUAGAUUCUUCGACUUCUCAAUUAUUUUUAUUCCUCAUUCUGAAAACGUAUCGUCUAAUUCCUUAGCUAAGAUAGCAAUAUCCUUUCACAUAUAUCUAUUAUAUUAAAGUAGAAGUGUCUUUAGGAAUUGUUUGGAAACAAGAAUAGCGGUAUAAAAAAGAAUAUAAUGUUGUUUGGAAACAUGAAUUGCAGUAUAUAAGAAAAAAAGUAAUGGGCUUAUGUUAUUAAGAAAAAUUGAAAGUUCAUUAUAUUAUGAGAAACUAUAGAUCUAGACCAGUUUUAAAAUAUACAAAAAUGGUCCACUAAUCUAAUUACCUAAAAACAUGUUUUUUUGUCUAAAAUAAUCAUAAAACAAAAUUUAAACUUGAUAUACAUAUUUCAAAUCAAAAUAAUAAUUUAAAAUUGAUUUAUAUAAAAACUUGAUAUACAUAUAUUCAAUAAUUGAGUUUUACUAAAAUAUUUUCCAAUAAGCAUUAUAAGAAAAAUGUUUUCAAUAUAUAUAUAUAUAUAUAUAUAUAUAUAUAUAUUUUUUUAUAAGAAAAUACAAUACAAAGCUCAAUUUCAAACACCAACUUAAAUUAUUGGUUUUAUAUUUCACAUUAAAUUCUAAAAAUAUAAUAUAUGUGAUUAUAUAUAUGAUGGUACAUAUAAAAUACUAUUAAUUAUGUUAUUACUUAUAUGAUGGUACAUAUAAAAUACGAUUAAUUAUAUGAUGACGCAUAUAAUAGUGACUAAGGGUAGGCGUUCGGGUGCCCAUUCGGGUUUGGUUCAUGUCUGUUUAGGUUUCGAGUUUUCAAGGUCAAAGAUUUUAAACUCAUUCAGAUAUUUCUAAAUUUUGGUUCGGAUUUGGUUCGGAUCUUUGCGGGUUCGAUUCGGGUUCAUAUAACCCAUUUAAAUUAUUUUAAAAAUUUUAAAAUUUUAAAAUUUAUUAUAUACUUUAAAUUUCUCAAAAUCUAUUAAAAAUAAUAUAUUACACAUAAAUUUGAAAAAAUAUGUCAGAGUACAUAAACUUAACAUAUAAAUUGGUUUGGUUUGAAUAUUUGGAUAGAGAGUCAAUAAUUAUUUUAAGCAUUUUUGGUGUUUUUAGUAUACUUUAACAAUUUAAGAUAUUUAUUUUUGACUAUUUGUAUAUAUUUCUAAGUAUUUUGGACAACUUAAAAGUAUCAUAUAUGUUCUGGAUGUUUUUAUAUACAUUAAAUCUAAAAAUAAUUAAUAUAGGUAAAUAUAUAAAUCUAUUUCGAAUACACUCAGGAACCCGAAAUACUUCGGUUCGUAAAGAUUUGGUUUCGGUUCUCUAAAUACCAAAAUUUGAAUAAUUAGGAUAUUUAAUCAAUUUCAGUUCGGGUUUGGUAAUCGGAAUCGGUUCGGUUCUUCAUAUUCAAAUUUUUUGCUCAGCCCUAAUAGUGACAUGACAAAUAAAUAGAAAAAUAUUUUUGAAAAAAAUACAUACGCGCCGGUGCGUGAGUCAAAAUCUAGUAUGUAAUACAUUGGUUGUUCUGUCCCGGUCUGAUUCCACAGACAACCUCAAGUUUGAAUAAUAGAAUAGUUGUCUAAUUUUAAAAAAAAACAGCAGAAUUAUCAUAUAGUUACAAUUACACACAAACUUUCAAUCCUAUCUCAAUUUCACUUAAUUAAAGUUAUUCAACAUAUUAUUUCCCAAUUCAAUGUUUUAAACUGUAAAACCACAUAAUCUUUAAAGUUGAAACUAGAACCGACACAUAGCUGAUUUACAUCGGAUUAAUAUUUUUCAAUUUGAAAACAACCAAUCAAUAACAAAUUAAACCUUAAAUGAAGUUACACAUAAUAAACCAAAACUUAAUUAAGCCUAACCUAAUAACCUGUUUCAAACCCACAAGCCACAUCAUCAUCUUCUUCCUUGUUUCUCUGCUCUCACCACACAAACAUCAUCCUGCAUUCUCUCACUUGCAUAUCUCCUUCAUUUCCAUCAAUGAUUGCAUGCCUCCAGAAACGAUGAACAUUGCUCUGUGAUUAUAGGUCCCAGUUAUAGGCUUAUUUAUUGUUGAUCUAGAAACAUGUGAUUUGAUACCAAAUAAGGUCCAUCUUCAAAUCAGAAAUAAUUUGUCAAGAACAAACUAAGAACACACAUUUCUUUGGGUAGUUAAGACUACCUCUUUUUUAUUUUUUUCAUUGAUUUAAAUAGAUAAAAGUUACAAGAAGCAAUUGUGGGAUCAUGAUCCCUAUACAACGAUGAAAUGGGAAAAGUGGGAUGAUUAAGUUUCUAAACAUUAGGAAGAAUCAAUCUCCAUGAUUAACAACAAAACUCAUUAAAAAAAUGUGGGGGGGGAAGUUGAAUUGUCACCACUUGCAACAACCAAAGCCGCCUUUGUCCUGAGUCCAUACAUUCACGCUGUUCUAGUUAGUCUUGUUUUUAUCUCUUUCAUCACGAUGACAGUGGGAGUUUUAGCUUUGCAAGGCUCUUUCAAUGAUUCAGCUACGGAUUGAUGAAAGUUCUCCGUGGAAAGGUCUCAAGCGGUGAAGGAGAAAGAGAUGGGUGUGGUUCUUAAAUUUGUUAGUCGUAGUUCUGGUGGCUCUGGAGGAGAUCUCGAGAUAGUCUCGAUGACGCUCUCUGGUGAAAAGAGUCCAUGCGAAAAAGUUGGGUGAGGUGGUUUCAGAGUUUCGUCUUCUCCGGCGAUGUCUUGUGAUGAUCAGUUGGUUUGUCACUACUCAUGAUUUUUCUUCCAACUGGUUAUUUUGUGGAGUUAUUUCCAUGGAAUUUGGGACUGUUUUUUUUUUUCCAUUUUCGUGGAGUUAUUUAUUUUUCUUCAAACAGAAUAUUGAAAAAGAGAAUGUACGAGCGAAGAAAUGUCUUUUGAAGAGAAAAUUCAUACACAAGUAGGGGAAAUAUAAUGCGAUAUAAUUUGAAAGAUGGAUACAAUACAAUAAAUAUAUCAAAUAAACUCAUACUUUAUUAUUCUCUUUUUUUAUAUUAUAAUCCCAAAUUUGAAAAAGGACUUAGCGCACAAGGCUCCAAAAAACACAGCUUCAAAAUGGUAAGGAAACAAAACCAAAUUAUUUAGAAACGUGCCAACAUCCAAACAAAACUUUGCUUGGUCGGUUCAUUAUUUCUCACUAAGCGGACGGCAUCAGAUUUAACAAUAUAUGCGCGUAUCUGAUUACAUCGUUUCCUGGAGGCUCCUCUGUAUGCUCUCCAUAUGUCAAUAAAAUGAUUGCCAUCCCUUAGAUAACAGUGCCAUACUAUCCUAUCGCCGCUGCCUCUCUCCCUAACCGGGAAGUUGUAUUUACCAUUGAAUUUUAUUUCUUGAACACUUAUAGUUUCCUUUUUGUUCGAUGUGCAGUUGACUUUGACACUACGAGGAGGUUCAAGUUGGUUUUGAAAUUCCACCAGAUUGCAUCCGGAAGUUCUUUUCGAACUAAAACACAUAACAGUUAUUAACAUAAAAGUAAUGAGAUUAUUCAUCUUUUUUUUUUUUUUGAAGAUGCUAGAGACCCAAAGCGUAUUAUGUAUAGUUUCUUUUGUGAUGAAUAAGGUAAGAAGCUAAAUAUAGACACACAUAUUACUCGAUUAAAGUUAUGGUUGGAGGAGCAUUCGCAGUCGAAAAGUAAGGUAAAACCAUAAGAUAAGAUCAAAUAAAUUUAAAUUGCAAAUUAACGUUGACCACUAAAACUAAAGAAACACGAGUCUGAAAGUAGGUUCUACAUUUUAUGCAUAAAAUUUGUUUUGAUCUGUUAUUCGUUCUGAUUCGAAUAUUAAAAAUAUAUAUCCAUUAAAACGAAAAAAAUCACAAAUAUUAAAAGUUUAGGAUGCGGAUACC
rnacentral:lncRNA from 1 species